UGUGAGCAGGAAAUGCUUUUAUUUUGAAGCUCACUUUUGAGGAAGUGUCUUGCGUGUAUUGGCGGUAGUUGAAGAAAUGAAUCUCGGUGAUGAGAUGCCGAUGUGGGUUUGUUUACAUUGCAUUUUUACCCUUUUCUCCAUGUAAUGCUGCAGCAUAUGUUCAGUAAAAGUUCACAAAGACAGAUACGUCGUGGUCAUUAAUUGAAGCUUCCGUGACACUACAACCACGUACUCUGGUGGGUCUGGCAUUUUCAUUGUUUUGUCAGCAGUUCGGGAUAUGGGAGUGGAAGCUUGAGGCUGGCAUGGUGGCAUGACUCUAGGCGAGGGUAUAAUCUCACUUCCACUACAAGUGCUGGCAUCUUGGUCAGUAGUACUUUGGAUGGAGAACGACCUCCACAUCCCACUCUUUGGGGCAGGAAAAUUUUGGUGUGUCGGUUUUUGCCAGCCAUAUCAUUCCUGCCACAACCAGCACUGUGGAAAUAUCACCUGAAGCAUCUGGCCCUGCAGCACUGCAGCUUCAUGAUGUUGGCGACCCUGGCUCUGAAGAAGCUGUUGCUGUAACAUCCACAACCAGACCUGAUGUUGCCAGAUCUGCUGCUGCUUUUGCCAUCAGUGUCCAGGAACAGUGCCACUUUUCACAGAGAACGGUCAACAGCGUCAUCUCAGGGGUGCAACAAUACCAAGCUGUUCUCCUGGAUACACUGAGGGAGAGGAUGAGAAGGGUCUUUGAAGAGCAUCCCGAGACGUCCACUCAACUUCAAGAUGUGGCUUUGGCUACAUUUGACACAUUCGUAGAUCCUUUCUGCACGACUGCAUAUGGACAGAAUAUGGCCAUUCAGGAACUAUUUAAUCCAGUCGACCCAGAAGAAGUAGUGGUGUCCCAGAAGAUUUGUUGGGUAAAACGAGGUCUUUCAAGGGUCAUGUCCAUAAGAAAUAGAAGUUUUUACUAUGUACCACUAAUUCAAAGUCUAAAGCAGUUAUUGACCAAUUCCAGAAUCUUCACCAUUUUCAACACUGUACCACAAAGAAGCAGAGAGGGAUUCUUUUAUGAUUUUAUUGAUGGGGCCCUCUUUACAUCUCACCCUUUAUUUUCUCGAAAACCAAAUGCAUUGCAAAUAAUACUGUACACAGAUGAAAUUGAAAUAUGUAACCCCGUAGGAUCACAUUCUUCUGCAAAUAAAUUGCUCAUGUUUUAUUAUAGUUUAGGUAAUAUUGAUCCAAAAUUUAGGUCAAAGUUGUCUGCAAUACGACUCCUUGCUAUUGCUAAGGCAAAUUAUAUUUCUCAAUGGGGUGUUGAUGUUGUACUAAAAAGAAUUAUUCAAGAUCUGACACUGCUUUACAAUGGUGUAAGGAUUGAAACGCCAAAUGGUGAAAUUGAGUUGUUUGGUGCUGUGAUAGCUGUAUGUGGAGACACGCUUGCCCAACAUGAGCUUGCUGGCUUUAAAGAAGGUGUCGGUUUUUCUCAUAGCAAAUGUAGACACUUGAGGAUAUGCAACAUAUUUUUGAAGAGAAUAAGUUUGUUAAAAGAACUUUGGAAAAGCACAUCAGGCAGUGUCUUAAAAUAGACAAAACAUGCCCAGAUUUCUUGAAAGCAUCCCUUAAAACCACUUAUGGAAUUAACAGAAGAAGCAGACUAGUUGAUGUCCUGGCAUUUGACCUGAUAUAAUGCACGUUAUUUUUGAAGGUGUCGCGCCAAUGGAAAUUAAGCUUGUAUUAAAACACCUUAUUCUGUCACGACAAAUGGAAUUAGAUGAGUUUAAUUCAGCCAUUCAAAAUUUUCCUUACCUCUUGAUAUACGGGAUAAACCUUGUCCUGUUAGUGCCAACACUCUAGCAGCUAAUGACAACAGAUUGAAACAGUCUAGUGGGCAGAUGCUAAUACUUUUAAAAAUACUACCUUUUCUUUUGGAUGGUGUGGACAACGAGUAUACUAAAUUUAUUUUGAAGUUGAUUGAGAUAGUACAGAUAGUCCUUGCUCCCAUUAUUUCUUUACAAACUGUAUUACGGCUCAAAAGUAUGAUUGAGCAACACCUGUAUCAGUUCAAACAACUUUUUCCUGAGGUCAGUGUAAUACCCAAGCAGCAUUACAUGUUGCAUCUUCCGAGUCAAAUCAUAUCCCUUGGUCCUUUAAUAAGGAGUAUGUGCAUGCGCUUUGAGGCAAAACACUGCUAUUUUAAGCAGUGGGCUUCUAAGUUACAUUUUAAAAAUGUUUGUGAAUCACUAGUCAACCACAAUCAGUUUCUUGAAAGUUGUCAGAAUGAAAUAGGCAUUGAGCAUCCAAUUUUUGCAAACGAAAGAGAAUCUGGGCCUGUGUCAGCUGUUACAAAUACUGAAUAUGUUAAGAGAAAAGUCAAAGAUUUUUUGGGAAUAGAGGUCAUGAAAUCUGUUGUCUCUGUGAAAUGGUAUAUCCUCAACGGUAAUAAGUAUGUCAGAGGGAAGUCUAUGAUUAUUGCAGAUGUGGAUGACACUUUGCCAGUGUUUGGAAUGAUCAAGGAUAUAUUUUUGAUUGAUUCCUCUUUUGUUGCUUUUGAGUACCAGCGCUAUGAAACUUUGAAUUUGAAUCAAGACUUGCUGCCUUAUGAAGUGGCAGUGCCCACUCUUGCACAGGCUACGGAAUUGGUACACAAGCUCACUGAUCACACUUCAUAUUUUUCUGUUGGUUUUAGAGAAAGUGUGUUUGUACCAAUAAAAUAUAGUCUUUCUGAUCUCAUUGCUCAGAGAAAUCAGCAUGAGGAUUAAGCAUGCACAUGUGUGGUUGAACAUAGGUAUCUGCCAAGCCCUGUUGAUGAACAUUGGUUAUCAGCAAAAAAAAAACAAAAAAAAACUUCUGUCAGUUGCUGAUGUGUAUCUGUUGUGCUACAUCAAUUUAAUGCUGGAAUGGAGCUAAUAGCUGAUUGUGAAAAAAAGAUUUCUACCGGUUUGUCAGUCACUGACAUAGUACAGUAAAUAAAAUAUGUGAAAAAAAUAAAAAUUACAAAGACAACAUGAAAUACAUACAGAAUCAGCUAACUAAAUAUUUUAAGCCUGUUGCAACGAUUGAAAAUGUGCAAUUGUAUCAUGAGUUGUGGGGAAGGUUGUAUGGUUUCUCUUCUGUGUUGUUUGGCCAUGUUUGAAGUCAGAGCCAUUCUAAUAAAUUGCAUUUUGAACAGA